CCUACGGGAGGCAGCAGUGAGGAAUAUUGGUCAAUGGACGGGAGUCUGAACCAGCCAAGUAGCGUGAAGGAUGACUGCCCUAUGUGUUGUAAACUUCUUUUAUCUGGGAAUAAAAUGUUCCACGUGUGGGAUUUUGUAUGUACCAUAUGAAUAAGGAUCGGCUAACUCCGUGCCAGCAGCCGCGGUAAUACGGAGGAUCCGAGCGUUAUCCGGAUUUAUUGGGUUUAAAGGGAGCGUAGGUGGAUUGUUAAGUCAGUUGUGAAAGUUUGCGGCUCAACCGUAAAAUUGCAGUUGAAACUGGCAGUCUUGAGUAGAGGAGAGGUGGGCGGAAGGCGUGGUGUAGCGGUGAAAUGCUUAGAUAUCACGAAGAACUCCGAUUGCGAAGGCAGUUCACUGGACUGCAACUGACACUGAGGCACGAAAGUGUGGGUAUCAAACAGGAUUAGAUACCCCAGUAGUC
rnacentral:rRNA from 1 species